UGGGGAAUUUUGCACAAUGGGGGAAACCCUGAUGCAGCGACGCCGCGUGAUUUAGAAGGCCUUCGGGUUGUAAAAAUCUUUUCUAUGGGAAGAAAAUGACAGUACCAUAGGAAUAAGGACCGGCUAAUUACGUGCCAGCAGCCGCGGUAAUACGUAAGGUCCGAGCGUUGUCCGGAAUCAUUGGGCGUAAAGGGUACGUAGGCGGGUAAGCAAGUUUGAAGUGAAAUCCUAUAGCUCAACAAUAGUAAGCGUUUAAAACUGCUCAUCUUGAGGUAUGGAAGGGAAAGUGGAAUUCCUAGUGUAGCGGUGAAAUGCGCAGAUAUUAGGAGGAAUACCGGUGGCGAAGGCGACUUUCUGGCCAUAACCUGACGCUGAGGUACGAAAGCGUGGGUAGCAAACAGG
rnacentral:rRNA from 1 species